CCCGGGCCGAGCCCGGCUCGCAGCGCCCGCCCGCCCGCCCGCGCGGUGGGGGAGGGGGUCCCCGAGCCCGGCAGCUCCCGCAGUCAGGUCCCCGACACCUCCGCCUCGCCGCCCCCGGCUACCCUCCCCUCCACCCCGGCCGCCCGCGGGCCGCCGAGCCCGGAUCGCCGCCCGGGCUCGGUCAGUCGGUACCUUCAUGAAGGUCUCUACCGCGCCUUUGGCCGUGUCCAGAAAAGGAACUGAGAGACCAAGUAAAUUAAUGAACAUAGUUCAAAGUCACAAAGCAGAAGAGAACUAGAACCCGUGUCUGAUUCCAAAGGCAUAAUUCCAAGCAAUACUGGAAGGAGUUAUCGUUGACCCAUCCGUGGGAAUUGGUGCUUAGGGACGGAGCUCCAAUCCCCAUGAAGACGAAGAACCCAGACAUCGGCGUGAGACCAAGGUGGAGCCUCAGGCAUGGAGGGAAACAGGGAGACCAUCAACAAAAUCUCUAAUAAGGGAGGAAUUUGCUCCUACGAACAAGAUGGAAAGGAUAAAGGGGUUUGCACUGGCAGAAGAAAUGGGAAGAAGAAAAGAAAGCAGGUCUUGUCAGCUGAUCUGGACUUGCUUUGAAAAGAGAUUUUUCUGGCACCCCUCCUAAUAAUCU